rnacentral:rRNA from 1 species
AAGGGAUUGCUGACUGAUAGUGCACACAGUACUGUGAAGGAACUAAUGAAACUGGGCUACAACACUAAAAACACAAAGUGCGCAUUCCACCAUACGUGAGCAUUAGCGCAUUACCAUUCUCCAGAGGAUUUAAAUGCACAAACCUAUUAGUGCCUUU